AAUAUGUACAGUUUUGCACGGUUCAUGUCUAACAUUUGACCGUUCGUCUUAUUUGAAAAUUUUUUAUGAUUAAUAUUUUUAUUGUUAUUAGAUGAUAAAACAUGAAUAGUAUUUUAUGUGUGACUAAUUUUUUUUAAUUUUCUCAUAAAUUUUUCAAAUAGACGGACGGUCAAACGUUGGACACGAAUUUCCACGGCUACACUUAUU
rfam:Oryza nivara chromosome 5, whole genome shotgun sequence.